rnacentral:lncRNA from 1 species
AGGCCAGGCCCACUAUAAAAGGAGUUGUUUGCUCCUCCUCUCUCUCUAUCUUGCUCCUGUCUCUCUUACUCUUGCCUUCUUGAUCCCACUCUCUCCCUGGUCCCCUUACCCUCCUCUCUCCAUGUAGCCAUGGCUGGCUUUUUCUUCUCUACUCUCUCCCCCUCUCUGCCUUCCUACAAUAAAUGCCUUAAAACCAUGGACUGCCUCUUCUUCUAGGGAUCCACCAUGCUGGAGCGAUGAAGCAGCAUCUAAUCUCCCUCCAGGAGGCCUCCAGCCAUGCAUGGCUUCUGCCAGCCCAAGCUGCCAACUGAGCAAGCCUAGGACUCUCAUCCCCAUGGUAACCAGUGGUUUUUGAGAUGACAAAGACUGAGAACCUGACAUCCCUGGCCUCCGAGUGGUCCAUGGACCCCCAGAACUGGCUCUUCUCCAACACCCAGUGGCUUCUGUGGUGCCCAAGAGUUGGAUGGAGCCCUACCCGGGCAGGUCCAUAGGGACCCCAUGAGGACUACACCUUCCUCAUCCUCCCCCCAGCACAUGUCCUGCAGCUUCUCACAGCCUCAUGCCCUCUGAGCCGGUCCAUGGGGGUGCACAGUAGUCAAACUUCCUGCGGUAUAGCCUGGACCUGGGACCCCCAUUUAUACCCCACACAAUAUGUUCAGUUUAGUCACAGCUAAGGUAAUAGAACAUUCAAGGUACCUAUGCUGGGUACUUGAUUCAUUUUUGGUUUUGUUUCUGUUUUUGAAAUAACAUGACAUUAUGAAGCCCUCGAGAUUGUUAUUUAUAAUGGGCAUAUCUCACAUUCAAACUAUCUUCCUGCU